rnacentral:rRNA from 1 species
UGACUNGAGUGCAGAAGGGGAGAGUGGAAUUCCAUGUAUAGCGGUGAAAUGCGUAGAUAUAUGGAGGAACACCAGUGGCGAAAGCGGCUCUNUGGUCUGUCACUGACGCUGAGGCUCGAAAGCGUGGGUAGCGAACAGGAUUAGAUACCCUGGUAGUCCACGCCGUAAACGAUGAGUGCUAGGUGUUAGGCCCUUUCCGGGGCUUAGUGCCGGAGCUAACGCAAUAAGCACUCCGCCUGGGGAGUACGACCGCAAGGUUGAAACUCAAAGGAAUUGACGGGGGCCCGCACAAGCGGUGGAGCAUGUGGUUUAAUUCGAAGCAACGCGAAGAACCUUACCAGGUCUUGACAUCCCGAUGCUAUUCUUAGAGAUAGGAAGUUACUUCGGUACAUCGGAGACAGGUGGUGCAUGGUUGUCGUCAGCUCGUGUCGUGNNNNNNNNNGUUAAGUCCCGCAACGAGCGCAACCCUUAUUGUUAGUUGCCAUCAUUAAGUUGGGCACUCUAGCGAGACUGCCGGUAAUAAACCGGAGGAAGGUGGGGAUGACGUCAAAUCAUCAUGCCCCUUAUGACCUGGGCUACACACGUGUUACAAUGGUCGGUACAACGAGUUGCGAGCCGGUGACGGUAAGCUAAUCUCUGAAAGCCGAUCUCAGUUCGGAUUGGAGGCUGCAACUCGCCUCCAUGAAGUCGGAAUCGCUAGUAAUCGCGGAUCAGCACGCCGCGGUGAAUACGUUCCCGGGCCUUGUACACACCGCCCGUCACACCACGAGAGUUUGUAACACCCGA